rnacentral:rRNA from 1 species
CAGCUAGUUGGUGGGGUAAAGGCCUACCAAGGCAUCGAUCAGUAGCUGGUCUGAGAGGACGACCAGCCACACUGGAACUGAGACACGGUCCAGACUCCUACGGGAGGCAGCAGUGGGGAAUUUUGGACAAUGGGCGCAAGCCUGAUCCAGCAAUGCCGCGUGAGUGAAGAAGGCCUUCGGGUUGUAAAGCUCUUUUGUCAGGGAAGAAACGGCCUGUUCUAAUACAGCGGGCUAAUGACGGUACCUGAAGAAUAAGCACCGGCUAACUACGUGCCAGCAGCCGCGGUAAUACGUAGGGUGCAAGCGUUAAUCGGAAUUACUGGGCGUAAAGCGUGCGCAGGCGGUUUUGUAAGACUGUCGUGAAGUCCCCGGGCUCAACCUGGGAAUGGCGAUGGUGACUGCAAGGCUAGAGUUUGGCAGAGGG